CUACGGGUGGCACCAGUGGGGAAUAUUGCACAAUGGGCGCAAGCCUGAUGCAGCCAUGCCGCGUGUAUGAAGAAGGCCUUCGGGUUGUAAAGUACUUUCAGCGGGGAGGAAGGGAGUAAAGUUAAUACCUUUGCUCAUUGACGUUACCCGCAGAAGAAGCACCGGCUAACUCCGUGCCAGCAGCCGCGGUAAUACGGAGGGUGCAAGCGUUAAUCGGAAUUACUGGGCGUAAAGCGCACGCAGGCGGUUUGUUAAGUCAGAUGUGAAAUCCCCGGGCUCAACCUGGGAACUGCAUCUGAUACUGGCAAGCUUGAGUCUCGUAGAGGGGGGUAGAAUUCCAGGUGUAGCGGUGAAAUGCGUAGAGAUCUGGAGGAAUACCGGUGUCGAAGGCGGCCCCCUGGACGAAGACUGACGCUCAGGUGCGAAAGCGUGGGGAGCAAACAGGAUUAGAUACCCCAGUAGUC
rnacentral:rRNA from 1 species